rnacentral:tRNA from 1 species
GGGUCGUUAGCUCAGUCGGUAGAGCAGCGGACUUUUAAUCCGUUGGUCGAAGGUUCGAAUCCUUCACGACCCCACCA